UACGUAGGGUGCGAGCGUUAAUCGGAAUUACUGGGCGUAAAGCGUACGCAGGCGGUUCGUUGUGUCUGUGGUGAAAGCCCCGGGCUUAACCUGGGAAUGGCCAUGGAAACUGGCGAGCUGGAGUGUGGCAGAGGGGGGUGGAAUUCCGCGUGUAGCAGUGAAAUGCGUAGAGAUGCGGAGGAGCACCGAUGGCGAAGGCAGCCCCCUGGGUUGACACUGACGCUCAGGCACGAAAGCGUGGGGAGCAAACAGG
rnacentral:rRNA from 1 species